rnacentral:RNase_P_RNA from 1 species
AGGCGAGGAAUAGGGCCACAGAGACGAGCGUAUUAAGUUACGGUGAAACGCGGUAACCUCCACCUGGAGCAAUCCCAAAUAGGCACGCGUUGAGGCGGCUCGCGGAGCGUGCGGGUAGGGAGCUUGAGCGCAGGAGCAAUUCUGCGCCUAGAGGAAUGGCUGUCAUAGCGGGCGUGCGCAAGCACAACCGCCGUAACAAAAUCCGGCCUAUCGGCCUGCUUCACUU